CAGCAGCCGCGGAACACCGGCGGCCCGAGUGGUGAUCGUGAUUAUUGGGUCUAAAGGGUCCGUAGCCGGUUUGGUCAGUCCUCCGGGAAAUCUGAUAGCUCAACUAUUAGGCUUUCGGGGGAUACUGCCAGACUUGGAACCGGGAGAGGUAAGAGGUACUACAGGGGUAGGAGUGAAAUCUUGUAAUCCCUGUGGGACCACCUGUGGCGAAGGCGUCUUACCAGAACGGGUUCGACGGUGAGGGACGAAAGCUGGGGGCACGAACCGGAUUAGAUACCCGGGUAGUCCCAGCCGUAAACGAUGCUCGCUAGGUGUCAGGCAUGGCGCGACCGUGUCUGGUGCCGCAGGGAAGCCGUGAAGCGAGCCACCUGGGAAGUACGGCCGCAAGGCCGAAACUUAAAGGAAUUGGCGGGGGAGCACAACAACGGGUGGAGCCUGCGGUUUAAUUGGACUCAACGCCGGACAACUCACCGGGGGCGACAGCAAUAUGUAGGCCAAGCUGAAGACUUUGCCUGAAUCGCUGAGAAGAGGUGCAUGG
rnacentral:rRNA from 1 species